UGAGGCAGGAGAAUCGCUUGAACCCAGGAGACAGUGGUUGCAGUGAGCCCAGAUUGCGCCACUGCACUUCAGCCUUGGCGGCUGAACAAGACUCCAUCU